GGUGAACGCUGGCGGCGUGCCUAAUACAUGCAAGUCGAGCGAACGGACGAGAAGCUUGCUUCUCUGAUGUUAGCGGCGGACGGGUGAGUAACACGUGGAUAACCUACCUAUAAGACUGGGAUAACUUCGGGAAACCGGAGCUAAUACCGGAUAAUAUUUUGAACCGCAUGGUUCAAAAGUGAAAGACGGUCUUGCUGUCACUUAUAGAUGGAUCCGCGCUGCAUUAGCUAGUUGGUAAGGUAACGCCUUACCAAGGCAACGAUGCAUAGCCGACCUGAGAGGGUGAUCGGCCACACUGGAACUGAGACACGGUCCAGACUCCUACGGGAGGCAGCAGUAGGGAAUCUUCCGCAAUGGGCGAAAGCCUGACGGAGCAACGCCGCGUGAGUGAUGAAGGUCUUCGGAUCGUAAAACUCUGUUAUUAGGGAAGAACAUAUGUGUAAGUAACUGUGCACAUCUUGACGGUACCUAAUCAGAAAGCCACGGCUAACUACGU
rnacentral:rRNA from 1 species